AGUGUGACUGGUUCAUGAAAUGUAACCGUGGAUGUACGGAGAAAAUGCCCUCCGUUUCCUGUUGUCACUUCUGUUGGCCCCUCCCCUAGGGGUUCGUACUCUCUGAUUGGCUCCAAGUCAAGUUCUUUGACACUGACGAGAUCUGCAACAGUUGUUUUGACACUGAUUGACAAUCAUUGCGAUUCGACAAGUAGAAACGUCAGGUUCGUCGCUACCGGGUCGGCACGCCCCACAGGAAACAGAGAUGUGGAGGGGAAGUUGGAAGUGGAGGAGAGGAACAUCUGCACCCACAAACUGAUCCUCUCUCUCUACCCACACUUCAACAUCACCAAUGGGUCCAGUAACCUCUCCCUGGAGAUGAGUCAAGCCUGCAGCCCCUGUGUCACCAGCUUCAUCAGGUGCUAUUUAGAUAUGUUUAUUGGGUCAAUACAUGAUCCAGAAUGUUGUACAGUAUGUCUUAAAGGGGAAGUUCAGUAUUUUACAAUGUAAUGUAUGUGGGCAGCAGGAAGCCUAGCGGUUAAGUGCUGGGCCAGUUACAAAAAGGUCGCUGAUUAGAAUCCUCGAGCCGACUAUGUGAAAAAUCUGUCGAUGCCUUCGAGCAAGGCACUUAACCAUAGUUGCUCCAGUAAGUCGCUCUGGAUAAUAGCAUCUGCUAAAUGACUCAAAUGUAAAAUGUAUGAUGGAUACCCCUCUCACUCCCAUUGACUUUUAUCUAGCGGUGGCUAAAGUAUAACUGAAAUUUGUAGUGGCUGUUUAAAGGAAACCGAACGAUAGAUUUUAGUUUAUCCUGGCCCAUUGUCUACUUUUCACCCUUAAAUUAUAAAAUACAGAAUUUAUCCCCAAAAUCCAAAUCUGUCAGAUGAUUUUAGACCUCAUAAGUAGUCUCAUGUCAAGAUGAGUCUAUGUCUCCUUGCAUCAAUUGUGUAGAUCCAGGGUGCCUUACUUAAAGCACAGUUUUUCUCUCGGUCCAACACCACUGGCUGAAGUUCCUUUAGCUAUGGUAUCUCCUCUCUUUUCUUUUUCAUAAAAGUUUUAAAUUAUGGUACUGUAAUUAUGGAAAAUGUUGAUCAAUUUGCAUAUGAAUCUUAAUUUCAUCAAAUAAUAUCAAAAUGUAUAACUGUUCUUACUUUAGAAUUAUGAACAUAACUAUAUCAACUAUGAAAUGUAUGCUUGCACAAAGGCCUUUCAACAUACAGUGAUUAUUCUGUUUCCUUGA